rnacentral:rRNA from 1 species
AGAUUGAACGCUGGGGCAGGCCUAACACAUGCAAGUCGAGCGGAUGAAGAGAGCUUGCUCUCUGAUUCAGCGGCGGACGGGUGAGUAAUGCCUAGGAAUCUGCCUGGUAGUGGGGGACAACGUCUCGAAAGGGACGCUAAUACCGCAUACGUCCUACGGGAGAAAGCAGGGGACCUUCGGGCCUUGCGCUAUCAGAUGAGCCUAGGUCGGAUUAGCUAGUUGGUGAGGUAAUGGCUCACCAAGGCGACGAUCCGUAACUGGUCUGAGAGGAUGAUCAGUCACACUGGAACUGAGACACGGUCCAGACUCCUACGGGAGGCAGCAGUGGGGAAUAUUGGACAAUGGGCGAAAGCCUGAUCCAGCCAUGCCGCGUGUGUGAAGAAGGUCUUCGGAUUGUAAAGCACUUUAAGUUGGGAGGAAGGGCAGUAAGCGAAUACCUUGCUGUUUUGACGUUACCGACAGAAUAAGCACCGGCUAACUCUGUGCCAGCAGCCGCGGUAAUACAGAGGGUGCAAGCGUUAAUCGGAAUUACUGGGCGUAAAGCGCGCGUAGGUGGUUUGUUAAGUUGAAUGUGAAAUCCCCGGGCUCAACCUGGGAACUGCAUCCAAAACUGGCAAGCUAGAGUAGGGCAGAGGGUGGUGGAAUUUCCUGUGUAGCGGUGAAAUGCGUAAAUAUAGGAAGGAACACCAGUGGCGAAGGCGACCACCUGGGCUCAUACUGACACUGAGGUGCGAAAGCGUGGGGAGCAAACAGGAUUAAAUACCCUGGUAGCCCACG